CUGACGAAGGCCCCUCUGAGGGUACCAGACAGAAACACUGCAAGGGUCAUAUAAGUUGGUACAGCAAAUCCUUUUCAAGAGUCUAUUUAUAGAAACUUCGCUUUGAAUCUGAAGCAGCCUCUUAUGUUGAAUGCAGAGGAAACAUCAAGAAAAUUGAGCACGUGAAUGAAGAAUCACAGAAGAACACUAGAGGACCUGGUGAGAUGGCUCGGAAGGUAAAAUAUUUUGAAAGAAAUUAACAAAACAUUGGGAAGCUUAAAUGAUACCUGACUAGAUC